CUCAACAUGCCAGUUUUCAGAACUCCACACAGCCUCAUGAAGACACAGGCAUCGUCUACUCUCUCUUGAACGACCAGCAGUGAGCAAGGAACAACAGAGAAUAUUUCAACUUCAAACCUCUGAACACCAAGUGGC